CGGGGCGUAGCUCAGCUGGCUAGAGCGCUCGGUUCGGGACCGUGAGGUCGCUGGUUCAAACCCAGUCGCCCCGA
rnacentral:tRNA from 1 species